UUCGAUUGUCUCUCUUUUUCUUGAAACACUGAGAGACUCCCAAGAGCUGAAGAACUCCUUCUUGCGAAGCUAUUGAAGAGGUUUAAUCAAAGGUGCUAAUCGAUUCUCUCCUUCAAAGAUCACAUUCCGAUUUUUGUACUCAUCCUUGGCAGCAAACGACCCCCUCCACUCUAAUGAAAAGUCCUCUUCUCGUCAGGUUCAUUUCCUAUGAUUCCCCUAGCAAGUACAUAGAGACUCAAUUAGAAGAUACGUUGUCUUAGUCAUGGAGUCCUAGCAUGCCCAUGCUGCAACAAACAAAUGUGUUCCCCCCCCCCAAAAGGU